rnacentral:rRNA from 1 species
GAUGAACGCUGGCGGCGUGCCUAAUACAUGCAAGUCGAGCGAACAGACGAGGAGCUUGCUCCUCUGACGUUAGCGGCGGACGGGUGAGUAACACGUGGAUAACCUACCUAUAAGACUGGGAUAACUUCGGGAAACCGGAGCUAAUACCGGAUAAUAUAUUGAACCGCAUGGUUCAAUGGUGAAAGACGGUUUUGCUGUCACUUAUAGAUGGAUCCGCGCCGCAUUAGCUAGUUGGUAAGGUAACGGCUUACCAAGGCAACGAUGCGUAGCCGACCUGAGAGGGGGAUCGGCCACCCGGGAACUGAGACACGGUCCAGGCUCCUACGGGAGGCAGCAGUAGGGAAUCGUCCGCAAUGGGCGAAAGCCUGACGGAGCAACGCCGCGUGAGUGAUGAAGGUCUUCGGAUCGUAAAACUCUGUUAUUAGGGAAGAACAAAUGUGUAAGUAACUAUGCACGUCUUGACGGUACCUAAUCAGAAAGCCACGGCUAACUACGUG